rnacentral:rRNA from 1 species
GACGGAGGAUGCAAGUGUUAUCCGGAAUCACUGGGCGUAAAGAGUUCGUAGGCGGUUUGUCGCGUCGUUCGUGAAAACUUGGGGCUUAACUCCAAGCGUGCGGGCGAUACGGGCAGACUUGAGUACUACAGGGGAGACUGGAAUUCCUGGUGUAGCGGUGAAAUGCGCAGAUAUCAGGAGGAACACCGGUGGCGAAGGCGGGUCUCUGGGUAGUAACUGACGCUGAGGAACGAAAGCGUGGGUAGCGAACAGG